rnacentral:rRNA from 1 species
CAGCCGCCGCGGUAAGACAGAGGAUGCAAGCGUUAUCCGGAAUGAUUGGGUGUAAAGCGUCUGUAGGUGGCUUUUCAAGUCCGCCGUCAAAUCCCAGGGCUCAACCCUGGACAGGCGGUGGAAACUACCAAGCUGGAGUACGGUAGGGACAGAGGGAAUUUCCGGUGGAGCGGUGAAAUGCGUUGAGAUCGGAAAGAACACCGACGGCGAAAGCACUCUGCUGGGCCGACACUGACACUGAGAGACGAAAGCAAGGGGAGCAAAUGGGAUUAGAUACCCCUGUAGUCCCUGUCUCUUAUAC